UACGGAAGGCAGCAGUGGAGAAUAUUGCACAAUGGGCGCAAGCCUGAUGCAGCCAUGCCGCGUGUAUGAAGAAGGCCUUCGGGUUGUAAAGUACUUUCAGUCGUGAGGAAGGUGUUAAGGUUAAUAACCUUAGCAAUUGACGUUAGCGACAGAAGAAGCACCGGCUAACUCCGUGCCAGCAGCCGCGGUAAUACGGAGGGUGCGAGCGUUAAUCGGAAUUACUGGGCGUAAAGGGCACGCAGGCGGUUAAUUAAGUUGGAUGUGAAAUCCCCGGGCUUAACCUGGGAAUGGCAUUCAAGACUGGUUAGCUAGAGUCUUGUAGAGGGGGUAGAAUUCCAUGUGUAGCGGUGAAAUGCGUAGAGAUGUGGAGGAAUACCGGUGGCGAAGGCGGCCCCUGGGACAAAGACUGACGCUCAUGUGCGAAAGCGUGGGGAGCAAACAGGGAUUAGAUACC
rnacentral:rRNA from 1 species